AGAGUUUGAUCCUGGCUCAGGACGAACGCUGGCGGCGUGCUUAACACAUGCAAGUCGAACGGAAAGGCCCUUCGGGGUACUCGAGUGGCGAACGGGUGAGUAACACGUGGGUGAUCUGCCCUGCACUUUGGGAUAAGCCUGGGAAACUGGGUCUAAUACCGAAUAUGAUCAUGGCCUUCAUGGGUUGUGGUGGAAAGCUUUUGCGGUGUGGGAUGGGCCCGCGGCCUAUCAGCUUGUUGGUGGGGUAAUGGCCUACCAAGGCGACGACGGGUAGCCGGCCUGAGAGGGUGACCGGCCACACUGGGACUGAGAUACGGCCCAGACUCCUACGGGAGGCAGCAGUGGGGAAUAUUGCACAAUGGGCGCAAGCCUGAUGCAGCGACGCCGCGUGGGGGAUGACGGCCUUCGGGUUGUAAACCUCUUUCAGUCACGACGAAGCGCAAGUGACGGUAGUGACAGAAGAAGCACCGGCCAACUACGUGCCAGCAGCCGCGGUAAUUC
rnacentral:rRNA from 1 species